AGAGAAAAACAGAAAACAUACUGUAUGUUUACAUAUAUACCUCCAUGUUUCAAAAGGAUAUGCAUUUUUAGCGCUCUAUAUUUCCAUUUCCUCAAUGUCAUUGAAUACACAACAACAAAGACAAUGAGUAAGAAAUAUUUCAUUCAAGAUAAAAGAUCUUCUGCUCACAGGAACAGAUCAUGUCUAUAAACUGUCAUUUCAGAGUAAUGGCCAGCAAUGAAGGUGAUGCUAAUGUCCAUUUGAAACAAGACCAAUUCGUAUCAAAGUGAAUCUCUAAAGUGUUUGACCAACGGAAGCAAGAAUUUUUUUUUUUUGACUUGUGAUCUAGAUUGUGGGUGGGCGUAUGGCCAGGAAGUUCAUCGUUCGUGUGCAGAUGUGUCAAACACACUGAGCGCAACGACAUGUUUUUAAAAUGGACUACAAACUGUCUUUUAUUUUUGAUUUUAAUUUAUCUUCCAUACACAGAGAGCCUUUAAAAAUAAAAAUAAAAGACGUUCAGCCCAGUGACUCUGGUUAUCACAGCUGUAAAACUACAAUAAUAAUUCCACCACCAUCAUUGGACAACUUCACAAAUACGACACUCCAAGUAGUUGUUCCACGUCUGUCAUUGCAGAAACUGAGCAGCAGUAAUGACAUCUGUGUCCAUCUGCUCUGCUCUAUUGAGAGUCUGCAGUCUGAGCAGGUGAACUUCACCUGGAGCCGGGGUCAAAGGUCACUUCAUCCAUUCACAUAAUGCCACGAAGAGCGAGCUGCGUCUGUGUAAACCUGACUGGAGUGAAGGAGACACAAUCACCUGUUACGCCAGCUACUCAAGAACACAAACCAAUGAAAGUUUACAUCUAACCU